UAACAUCUAUCAAGCAGCUUGCCGCUGUUUGCAUUGGGCCGUCACAUUGUGUCCAUUCACACUGUGCAGCUCUAAGGUUUGUUGACUGAGUUCUACAGUCUCUCAACUCUUGGGAACCUGUGUGUCCUGGGUUGUCGAUGACAGUUGCAGUCUAGCAAGUUGGGACGAAGACAACUUUGAAUCGUCUCCAACAACAAACACAUUUCAUUUU
rnacentral:misc_RNA from 1 species